rnacentral:rRNA from 1 species
UACGUAGGUGGCAAGCGUUAUCCGGAUUUAUUGGGCGUAAAGGGAACGCAGGCGGUCUUUUAAGUCUGAUGUGAAAGCCUUCGGCUUAACCGGAGUAGAGCAUUGGAAACUGGGAGACUUGAGUGCAGAAGAGGAGAGUGGAACCCCAUGUGUAGCGGUGAAAUGCGUAGAUAUAUGGAAGAACACCAGUGGCGAAAGCGGCUCUCUGGUCUGUAACUGACGCUGAGGUUCGAAAGCGUGGGUAGCAAACAGG